rnacentral:misc_RNA from 1 species
UUCCCUACUGCACAAGCACUAAAAUUGCACCUUGAGGGUUCAACAGCACCUCCAACAGUUAGCUUUCUCCAUGCUGCUGCUUCAAGAGUAGUUAAUUCUCUUGCAAGGCGUCCCCACCCAAGUCUCUUUGCACCAGGCACAGUCUCUAAAACACGAGUGGUUUCACUACCCCAAGCAUUUUGGCAAACCAUUCUCCAAAGGUCCUCAUUCUUAGUCAGCGCAUAGAGCCGCCUACAGACUGAACCUACAGAUGCAAUGUCCCUUGGUGUCAAAAGUGAAAGUAUUUUGAGAGACAGUACCUCAUCACCCAAUUGUAGUAUCCCACAAACCUCACGACAAACACUGCGGUCCCCUACUGGGAUAGGUCGAUAAGUCAAAAAACCAGAAUGAAACUGAUCAGCUGAUUUUGCAGACUCCUUUAAUGAAGAACCAUGCACAGGGCCUAGAUCAAUAUUUGCUUCUGUAAAGAAUUGGAUUCCAAUAACAUGAGUUAUGGUUUCAUCAUCUCCAUAUAUAGGAAUAAGCCGCAACCUGUUCUUUAUAGGAGUUCCAUCUUUUCUGAAGUUCAAUAAUUCACCUUGGAAUUCAAUACCCUCCUCAAGGCAUCUUCUUAUUUCGGCAACCACAGUUGAUUCCACUAAUGAAUGCCUUCUUUUGGCAAAUGGACCUCUACAUUGCAAGAAGCGGCAGUUAUGCCCAAGCACUUCCUCGGCUCGAUAGCCAGUAGCCAUCUCAAAAACGGUGUUGACAUAUAUAAUUGGAUGGUCAGGCUCGAGCGCAUCAGUGACAACGAACCCACAGGGCGCAGUUUGGAGCAAAUUGUCAACAGGUAAAGGAAGCGGACCAUCAUCAGCAGCAUCAUCGUUAAGCGAGAAUCCAUCGUCCGUCCCCGCUGAGAUCCGAAUUACUAUCCCACUCCAUUAAGAAAAUCGAGGCAAGAGAGGAAAAUAAUCUAACCCAUGAACGAGAGAAGAGAAAAGCUGAGGAAAGCAAGAAAAGGGUUGGAAGUAAAUUCCAAGGAUCAAAGUGGGUUUCGUAGAGAGAGUGCGAAAGUAUUUUGUUGCGUUCAAAGGAAAGGAAAUGAAGAUGGCGAGACAACGAGUGGCAGGCAAUUUUUGCAAAAUAAGCUAUUUUAGCUAUAUGCGAUGAGAGAGAGAGAGAGAGAGAGAGAGAGAGAGACGAUGUGUCAGAACGUGCGAGACACCGCCUUGGCCUGGUGGAAGAAAAAUCUUCUCAAUCCAGAGAAAGAGGGGCAUGUGUUGUGUUUGUUAG